UGCAGUCGAACGGCAGCGGACUCUUCGGAGUGCCGGCGAGUGGCGAACGGGUGAGUAAUACAUCGGAACAUACCCUAUAGUGGGGGAUAGCUCGGCGAAAGCCGAAUUAAUACCGCAUACGACCUACGGGUGAAAGGGGGGGAUCGCAAGACCUCUCGCUAUUGGAGUGGCCGAUGGCUGAUUAGCUUGUUGGUGGGGUAAAAGCCUACCAAGGCUACGAUCAGUAGCUGGUCUGAGAGGACGACCAGCCACACUGGGACUGAGACACGGCCCAGACUCCUACGGGAGGCAGCAGUGGGGAAUCUUGGACAAUGGGCGAAAGCCUGAUCCAGCAAUGCCGCGUGUGCGAAGAAGGCCUUCGGGUUGUAAAGCACUUUUGUCAGGGAAGAAAUUGCUUAAGUUAAUACCUUGAGUCGUUGACGGUACCUGAAGAAUAAGCACCGGCUAACUACGUGCCAGCAGCCGCGGUAAUACGUAGGGUGCGAGCGUUAAUCGGAAUUACUGGGCGUAAAGCGUGCGCAGGCGGUUUGCUAAGACAGUUGUGAAAUCCCCGGGCUCAACCUGGGAACUGCAAUUGUGACUGGUAGACUAGAGUUUGGCAGAGGGGGGUGGAAUUCCUGGUGUAGCAGUGAAAUGCGUAGAUAUCAGGAGGAACACCGAUGGCGAAGGCAGCCCCCUGGGCCCUGACUGACGCUCAUGUACGAAAGCGUGGGGAGCAAACAGGA
rnacentral:rRNA from 1 species